rnacentral:rRNA from 1 species
GAUGAACGCUGGCGGUGUGCCUAAUACAUGCAAGUCGAGCGAACAGACGAGGAGCUUACUCCUCUGACGUUAGCGGCGGACGGGUGAGUAACACGUGGAUAACCUACCUAUAAGACUGGGAUAACUUCGGGAAACCGGAGCUAAUACCGGAUAACAUGUUGAACCGCAUGGUUCAACAGUGAAAGACGGUCUUGCUGUCACUUAUAGAUGGAUCCGCGUCGCAUUAGCUAGUUGGUAAGGUAACGGCUUACCAAGGCAACGAUGCGUAGCCGACCUGAGAGGGUGAUCGGCCACACUGGAACUGAGACACGGUCCAGACUCCUACGGGAGGCAGCAGUAGGGAAUCUUCCGCAAUGGGCGAAAGCCUGAUGGAGCAACGCCGCGUGAGUGAAGAAGGUCUUCGGAUCGUAAAACUCUGUUAUUAGGGAAGAACAAAUGUGUAAGUAACUAUGCACGUCUUGACGGUACCUAAUCAGAAAGCCACGGCUAACUACGUG